rnacentral:lncRNA from 1 species
ACCGACGUCUAGAAGAGCUUGCUUGCCCAGUCACAGGAUUUUAAGAUUGGCUUCAGGGUGACCGUUGAAGGAGGCACGGAAAGUAAACAUACCAAUGCCACAGCCCAGCAGCUGAGAACUCUGGGAGGAGGCACAGGGUCGCAACCAUUCAUUUAUCUUCUAGGCUAUCCUGACAUCUGACAGCCAUUGACAUCCCGAGCAUUCCAGCACUUCAGACCCACGCCUAAGAGGAGAUAAAUAUAGGUCUCUGACACCUGAGAUGUAUGAAAUGAAAGCUAAUGUGAAAAAUCGCCCUCAUUUUGUGCCUCAGUUGAGGUAAAUAAAACCCUUAAUCCUCUUCCUGCUGAAACUUUGUCUACAUCUGGCAUGCCAAAUAUUUCUGUCAAGACCGCUGUGUUUCUCCAAGAAUGUCAACAUCAUGCUCACAUGCCAGCUGUGGAUGUUUGAAAGAAAGUGGACCCCCAAAGCAGUGAUGCUGUUAGGAGGUAUGGCCUUAUUGGAGAAGGUGUGGUCUUAUUGGAGGAAGUGAGUCACUGUGGAUCCAGGCUUUAAGGUCUCUUUUGCUCAAGCAUCCCUCAGUGUGACUUUCAGCCAACAUCCUGUAGCACUCUCAGCUCCAGCAACACAUCUGCCUGAAUGCUGCAAUGCUCCAAUUAAUCAUAAAGGACUGAACUUUUGAAACUGUAAGCAAGCUACCCUCAAAUAAAUGUUUUCUUUAUAACAGUUGCUGUGGUCAUGGUGUCUCUCCACAGCAAUAUUCCAUCCAUUUGAACUGAACUGGAAUCCAGUUGCAGAGAAGGAGGAGUGAUGAGCAAAGGGGUCAAGACCAGGCUGGUGAAACCACAGAAACAGCUGACCUGAACAAGGAGGAGCUCAUGGUCUCCAUACUGAUAGCUGGGAAACCAGCCUGGCACUGAUCCAGAACCCCUGAAUAUGGGUGUCAGUGAGGAGGCCUCGGAAAUCAAUGGGAGCCCAUCCCACAUGAAGGGAUACUCCCUCAGCCUAGACACACAGGGGAGGGCCUAGGCCCUAUCCCAAAGGAUAUGACAGACUCUGAAACCCCCCUCAUGGAAGGCAUCACCCUCCCUAAGGAGCAGAAAGGGUAUGGGAUAAGUAGGAUGUUGGGGGGGAGGGGAAGUGGGGAAGGAGAGGGA